rnacentral:rRNA from 1 species
GACGAACGCUGGCGGCGUGCUUAACACAUGCAAGUCGAACGGAAAGGCCCUGCUUUUGUGGGGUGCUCGAGUGGCGAACGGGUGAGUAACACGUGAGUAACCUGCCCUUGACUUUGGGAUAACUUCAGGAAACUGGGGCUAAUACCGGAUAGGAGCUCCUGCUGCAUGGUGGGGGUUGGAAAGUUUCGGCGGUUGGGGAUGGACUCGCGGCUUAUCAGCUUGUUGGUGGGGUAGUGGCUUACCAAGGCUUUGACGGGUAGCCGGCCUGAGAGGGUGAACGGCCACAUUGGGACUGAGAUACGGCCCAGACUCCUACGGGAGGCAGCAGUGGGGAAUAUGGCACAAUGGGCGGAAGCCUGAUGCAGCAACGCCGCGUGCGGGAUGACGGCCUUCGGGGUGUAAACCGCUUUCGCCUGUGACGAAGCGUGAGUGACGGUAAUGGGUAAAGAAGCACCGGCUAACUACGUG